rnacentral:tRNA from 1 species
GCCGAUGUAGCUCAGGGGUAGAGCAACUGAUUCGUAAUCAGUAGGUCAUCGGUUCAAUUCCGAUCAUCGGCUCCA